GGGGCUGAUUCUGGAUUCGACGGGAUUUGCGAAACCCAAGGUGCAUGCCGAGGGGCGGUUGGCCUCGUAAAAAGCCGCAAAAAAUAGUCGCAAACGACGAAAACUACGCUUUAGCAGCUUAAUAACCUGCUUAGAGCCCUCUCUCCCUAGCCUCCGCUCUUAGGACGGGGAUCAAGAGAGGUCAAACCCAAAAGAGAUCGCGUGGAAGCCCUGCCUGAGGUUGAAGCGUUAAAACUUAAUCAGGCUAGUUUGUUAGUGGCGUGUCCGUCCGCAGCUGGCAAGCGAAUGUAAAGACUGACUAAGCAUGUAGUACCGAGGAUGUAGGAAUUUCGGACGCGGGUUCAACUCCCGCCAGCUCCACCA
rnacentral:tmRNA from 1 species